GACGAACGCUGGCGGCGUGCUUAACACAUGCAAGUCGAACGGAAAGGCCCUGCUUGCCGGGUACCCGAGUGGCGAACGGGUGAGUAACACGUGGGUGAUCUGCCCUGCACUUCGGGAUAAGCCUGGGAAACUGGGUCUAAUACCGGAUAGGAGCCAUUUUUAGUGUGAUGGUUGGAAAGUUUUUUCGGUGUAGGAUGAGCUCGCGGCCUAUCAGCUUGUUGGUGGGGUAAUGGCCUACCAAGGCGGCGACGGGUAGCCGGCCUGAGAGGGUGGACGGCCACAUUGGGACUGAGAUACGGCCCAGACUCCUACGGGAGGCAGCAGUGGGGAAUAUUGCACAAUGGGCGCAAGCCUGAUGCAGCGACGCCGCGUGGGGGAGGACGGCCUUCGGGUUGUAAACUCCUUUCGCUAGGGACGAAGCUUUUUGUGACGGUACCUAGAUAAGAAGCACCGGCUAACUACGUG
rnacentral:rRNA from 1 species